rnacentral:rRNA from 1 species
CCUACGGGCGGCAGCAGUGGGGAAUAUUGGACAAUGGGCGAAAGCCUGAUCCAGCCAUGCCGCGUGUGUGAAGAAGGCCUUCGGGUUGUAAAGCACUUUCAGUGGGGAAGAAAGCCUUGGGGCUAAUACCCUCGAGGAAGGACAUCACCCACAGAAGAAGCACCGGCUAACUCCGUGCCAGCAGCCGCGGUAAUACGGAGGGUGCGAGCGUUAAUCGGAAUUACUGGGCGUAAAGCGCGCGUAGGCGGUCUGAUAAGCCGGUUGUGAAAGCCCCGGGCUCAACCUGGGAACGGCAUCCGGAACUGUCAGGCUAGAGUGCAGGAGAGGAGGGUAGAAUUCCCGGUGUAGCGGUGAAAUGCGUAGAGAUCGGGAGGAAUACCAGUGGCGAAGGCGGCCUUCUGGACUGACACUGACGCUGAGGUGCGAAAGCGUGGGUAGCAAACAGGAUUAGAUACCCCUGUAGUC